UGGGGAAUAUUGCACAAUGGGCGCAAGCCUGAUGCAGCCAUGCCGCGUGUAUGAAGAAGGCCUUCGGGUUGUAAAGUACUUUCAGCGGGGAGGAAGGGAGUAAAGUUAAUACCUUUGCUCAUUGACGUUACCCGCAGAAGAAGCACCGGCUAACUCCGUGCCAGCAGCCGCGGUAAUACGGAGGGUGCAAGCGUUAAUCGGAAUUACUGGGCGUAAAGCGCACGCAGGCGGUUUGUUAAGUCAGAUGUGAAAUCCCCGGGCUCAACCUGGGAACUGCAUCUGAUACUGGCAAGCUUGAGUCUCGUAGAGGGGGGUAGAAUUCCAGGUGUAGCGGUGAAAUGCGUAGAGAUCUGGAGGAAUACCGGUGGCGAAGGCGGCCCCCUGGACGAAAACUGACGCUCAGGUGCGAAAGCGUGGGGAGCAAACAGG
rnacentral:rRNA from 1 species